rnacentral:misc_RNA from 1 species
AAAGUUGGACAUCAUGGAUAGGGGCACUGAUGCUCGCAACUUUUUACUAGGAAAAGUGAUACCCCUUCGUCUUGGUUAUAUUGGCGUUGUGAAUCGUAGCCAGGAGGAUAUUAAGAUGAAUCGGAGUAUUAAGGAUGCACUUAUAGCUGAGGAAAAUUUCUUCCGAAGUCGUCCUGUGUAUAGUGAACUUGCUGAUCGUUGUGGCGUUCCUCAAUUGGCAAAAAAGUUGAACCAGAUUCUAGUGCAACACAUUAAGACAGUUCUUCCAGGAUUGAAAUCACGCAUU